CCUGGCGGCUCUAGCGCGGUGGUCCCACCUGACCCCAUGCCGAACUAAGAAGUGAAACGCCGUAGCGCCGAUGGUAGUGUGGGGUCUCCCCAUGCGAUAGUAGGGAACUGCCAGGC
rnacentral:rRNA from 1 species